rnacentral:rRNA from 1 species
UACGUAGGGUGCAAGCGUUGUCCGGAAUUAUUGGGCGUAAAGAGCUCGUAGGCGGCCUGUCGCGUCUGCUGUGAAAUCCCGGGGCUUAACCCCGGGCGUGCAGUGGAUACGGGCUGGCUGGAGGCAGGCAGGGGAGAAUGGAAUUCCCGGUGUAGCGGUGAAAUGCGCAGAUAUCGGGAGGAACACCGGUGGCGAAGGCGGUUCUCUGGGCCUGUUCUGACGCUGAGGAGCGAAAGCGUGGGGAGCGAACAGG